AUGUUUUGAUGAUCGCUGCAAAUGUUUUAUUUGUAGAGGAAAGUCCAUGCUCGCACAAGCUGUGAUGCUUGUAGUGUUCGUGCUUGAUGAAUAAAUAAGUCAAGGCAGUCUCACUCGGUGAGACUGACGGCAGGGAACUGAGCUACGUCUUCGGAUAUGCUCACAAUACCUUGAAAGUGCCACAGUGACGUAGUCAGACGGGAAACCGUUUGAGUGGAACGCGGUAAACCCCACGAGUGAGCAACCCAAAUAUUGGUAGGGGCAUCUUUGAUUAGGGAAUUUGAACCGAAACAAGGGCAUAAUCUUUGAUUGUGCAGAUAGAUGAUUAUCACUAAGGCACGAGGCUGACCACCGUUUGUAGUGCUCUAGGACAGAACAUGGCUUAUAAAA
rnacentral:RNase_P_RNA from 1 species